rnacentral:misc_RNA from 1 species
AGUCGUAACAAGGUUUCCGUAGGUGAACCUGCGGAAGGAUCAUUAUCAUACAUAAAACAUCUUUUAAAACAACCACUUGGUCAUAGGAUGGUUCAGUACCUUUCAUAGAUAGAUAGAUACUCUACUUCUCCUACCCAAGUUGGCACACCAUGUGAACUUUAUAAAGUCCAUAACCCCAUUUUUUAAACACCUCAUUUAUCCAGUUUGUUAGAGUUUGUAAUCUCCCUUUCCUCUCCCUUUUUUUCCUUCCGAGGACCAAAAGUAGUCAGAGUUCAAGAGAGAACACAAAUGAAAAACCUAUAUACAAUCUUUAGCGAUGGAUAUCUCGGCUCGU